GACGGACGCUGGCGGCGUGCUUAACACAUGCAAGUCGAACGAUGAAGCCGCUUCGGUGGUGGAUUAGUGGCGAACGGGUGAGUAACACGUGGGUAAUCUGCCCUGCACUCUGGGAUAAGCCUUGGAAACGAGGUCUAAUACCGGAUACGACCCGUCACCGCAGGGGGUGCGUGUGGAAAGGUCCGGCGGUGCAGGAUGAGCCCGCGGCCUAUCAGCUGGUUGGUGGGGUAGUGGCCUACCAAGGCGACGACGGGUAGCCGGCCUGAGAGGGUGACCGGCCACACUGGGACUGAGACACGGCCCAGACUCCUACGGGAGGCAGCAGUGGGGAAUCUUGCGCAAUGGGCGAAAGCCUGACGCAGCAACGCCGCGUGGGGGAUGACGGCCUUCGGGUUGUAAACCUCUUUCGACAGGGACGAAGCGCGAGUGACGGUACCUGUAGAAGAAGCACCGGCUAACUACGUGCCAGCCGCCGCAGUAA
rnacentral:rRNA from 1 species